rnacentral:rRNA from 1 species
GAUAAACGCUGGCGGCGUGCAUGAGACACGCAAGUCAUACGGACGAGCUUGCUCGUCAGUGGCGAACGGCUGAGUAACGCGUAGGUGACCUGCCCCGAAGUGGAGGAUAACUGCCCGAAAGGGUGGCUAAUACCGCAUGUGGCGACGUGUUCAUUCACGUCAUCAAAGCCGCGAGGCGCUUCGGGAGGGGCCUGCGUCCGAUUAGCUCGUUGGUGGGGUAACGGCUCACCAAGGCGACGAUCGGUAGGUGGUCUGAGAGGACGAUCACCCAGACUGGGACUGAGACACGGCCCGGACUCCUACGGGAGGCAGCAGUCGGGAAUUUUGCUCAAUGGGGGAAACCCUGAAGCAGCAACGCCGCGUGCGGGAUGAAGGCCUUCGGGUUGUAAACCGCUUUUACCAGGGACGAUAAUGACGGUACCUGGUGAAUAAGUCACGGCUAACUACGUGCCAGCCGCCGCGGUAACAC